GACGAAGGGGGCUAGCGUUGUUCGGAGUUACUGGGCGUAAAGCGAGUGUAGGUGGUUGUCCAAGUUGGAUGUGAAAGCCUUGAGCUCAACUCAAGAAAUGCAUUCAGGACUGGGCGGCUAGAGGACCGGAGAGGAUAGUGGAAUUCCCAGUGUAGUGGUGAAAUACGUAGAGAUUGGGAAGAACACCAGUGGCGAAGGCGGCUAUCUGGACGGUUUCUGACACUAAGACUCGAAAGCGUGGGGAGCAAACAGG
rnacentral:rRNA from 1 species